ensembl:lincRNA
GGUAGAAAGAGCAAACAUCUGAAUGUUCAUACCACUUCCUGGUUCCUUGUCGAUCCUUCACAAGGAAAUGAGUUUUUAAUUUAUUUAUUCUUUGCCUUGAGAGUACAGAUUCACCUUGAAGGAGUCCUGCUUCAAAGCCGGCAAGAUUAGUGAGCUUAGGACGGUGAACUAGCACCGUGAAGUCAGCAUUUGCAGGACCUGGAAGAGAGCAAAAGAGAAUGCUUACUAACUGCGCAACCUAGUCCUGACCCAACACGAGAAAGACUGUCUAACCAGCCUCGCGGGCUCCGUCCUGGCUUCUCUCGGGAGAGGAAUGUUUCUGGUGAAAACACCGUUAGUCUUCCAUGGAGCUACCAUUCACCAACUUGGAGGUGGCGUUCAUUUUACUGGCUUUCUUCAUCUUUUCCUUGUUUACUCUGGCUUCCAUCUACACCAGCCCUAAUGAGAGGAAUGAAGACGAUGACUUCCACCUAAAGGAAAAGAGAAGGAAAAGAAAAGAGUUUAAAGGGAAGAAAAAUUGCUCAGAUGAAGAACACAAAAUUGAAACAAUGCAACCAUGACCUCAGCCACCUGUGAGUGCACAGUCGCUCCCCUAAGAAUGCCUGCUGGGAUUGCUCGCAAGACCAAGGACAUUAAAACAGCCUUCAGAUCAUAAUCGCUAGGACUCAACACAGGGAAUGGGGCUUCAUACUCUCUUUUUGACAUCCUUGUUUAUAAGACCAAUUAUGAGCACUAGCUGUAAUAAAAAGGAAUACAGUCAAAGUAAGAUCUUUCAAGAAAGAGAAAAUACAUAAGUAUUAUAAUCUAGUUAAAGAAAACAGCAGUCUCUGGGACUGUGGCUCAGUGGUAGAGUGCUUGCCUAACAUGCUUAAGGCUCUGUGUUUGAUUGCUAGCUCUGACAAAAAAAAAGGGAGGUAGAUAAAUAAAUAAAUAAAUAAAUAAAUAAAUAAAUAAGGUGCUGGUGAGAUGGCUCAGUGGUUAAGAGCACCUACUGUUCCUCCAGAGGUCCUGAGUUCAAUUCCUAACAACCACACGGUGGCUCACAACCAUCUAUAAAGGGAUCUGAUGCCCUCUUCUGGCAUACAGCUGUACACACAGAGCACUUAUUCAUUUAAAAUUAAUGAAUAAAUGAGUGAAUGAAUGAAUGAAUGAAUGAAUGUACAAUGACAUUUUAAAAUCACAUACAUAUGUAUGUAUCCAUACGUAAAUAUGUUCACAUGAGUGCAGAUGCCCACAAAGGCCAGAGGAGGGCACCAGACCCUCAGAGCCACAGAGGGCUGAGUCACCAGGAUUUUGACAACUGAACUCAGGUCCUCUGCAACAGCAAACGCCCUUAACUACUGAGCCACUGCUCCAGCUCCAAGAACAAUGCAUUUUUACUGUUUUUCUUUCACUUGGUUAUGCAAAGUGUGACUUAGAAGCUACAAUUCUUCUGUUGUAAAACUACAACUAACCAUGUCUCUGCUGCUUCUAUAAUAAGGACUUAAUAAGGACUUCUGAAAUAAAUACUAAAGGCAAAA